CCCUUAGAUGUUCUGGGCCGCACGCGCGCUACACUGAAUGGAUCAACGUGUUUUCCCUUCCCGAGAGGGACGGGUAACCCGCUGAACCCCAUUCGUGGUAGGGAUCGGAGCUUGCAAUUGUUCUCCGUGAACCAGGAAUUCCCAGUAAGCGCAAGUCAUAAGCUUGCGUUGAUUACGUCCCUGCCCUUUGUACACACCGCCCGUCGCUACUACCGAUUGAAUGGUCCGGUGAAGCCUCCGGAUUGCGCGGCUUCGGCUGUCGCGAGAAGUUGGCUAAACCUUACCAUUUAGAGGAAGGUGAAGUCGUAACA
rnacentral:rRNA from 1 species